rnacentral:tRNA from 1 species
GCCGAGGUGGUGGAAUUGGCAGACACGCGGUCUUGAGGGGGCCGUGGGCUAUGCCCGUAGGAGUUCAAAUCUCCUCCUCGGCACCA